CCUACGGGAGGCAGCAGUAGGGAAUAUUGGGCAAUGGAGGCAACUCUGACCCAGCCACGCCGCGUGGAGGAUGAAGGUGCUAUGCAUCGUAAACUUCUUUUGUCAGGGAGAAAGUGCUUGAUUUAUCGAGUUUUGACGGUACUUGGCGAAUAAGCAUCGGCUAACUACGUGCCAGCAGCCGCGGUAAUACGUAGGAUGCAAGCGUUAUCCGGAAUCACUGGGUUUAAAGGGUCUGUAGGCGGUAUCAUAAGUCAGUGGUGAAAUAUCUGGGCUUAACUUGGAGGGUGCCAUUGAUACUGUAGUACUUGAGAUAGAAUGACGUGGGCGGAAUGUGUCAUGUAGCGGUGAAAUGCUUAGAGAUGACACAGAACACCGAUUGCGAAGGCAGCUCACGAAGCCUUAUCUGACGCUGAGGGACGAAAGCGUGGGGAGCAAACAGGAUUAGAUACCCUGGUAGUCCACGCCCUAAACUAUGUUUACUCGACAUUUGUUUUUAAUAAGUGUCUAAGCGAAAGCGUAAAGUAAACCGGCCUGGGGAGUACGUUCGCAGAAUGAAACUCAAAUGAAUUGACGG
rnacentral:rRNA from 1 species